rnacentral:lncRNA from 1 species
UCAUAAAGUUUUGUACUAUUUUCAUAACCUUCAAAUUCACAUGUACACAAAGUUAUUCAAGGAUUCAUACAAACUACCAGCUAGUUAAACAUAAAGUUCUAUUAAUAUCAAUAUGGCAAGAAAAAGCAUUCUCUUUUACAUACAACAAUAAAGUUCUUCAGCAAUUUAUACAAAGAGACCGCUUUGUAGAAACAGAGUUCUUUGUAAAAAGAUAAAGUCCUUCAUCAAUUUUCAGCAAAGGACGAUCCGGACAUCCAAAAAGUUCUUGUACAAAUCUGCCCAAAAAAAUUCAAUCUAUGCUGAGAACUUGGAAAUAAAGCAUGUCUAUACAAAGGGAUUUCACCUGUCAGUGCAAACAAAAUAAACUGCAGCUUAUUUUAUCAGAGAGCUGAAAGGUAGCCUUAACACAGACAAAACUUUGUCCAGCUUGUAGUCAAAUCCCAACAAACAAUCAGAGGGCCUAAAUUGUGCUAGCCUUUUUGUGGACACAAAUCGAUCAAGGUAGCGCAUGCAAGUUCAUCACAGAGAACAGAAGACCAAGAUUAAACAUGGUGGAUCCAUGUGCUACUAGAUCCAUCACGCAACAAUCAAUAUUACACUGCUGCAAAUAAAUCCUAAUCACCUUNNNNNNNNNNNNNNNNNNNNNNNNNNNNNNNNNNNNNNNNNNNNNNNNNNNNNNNNNNNNNNNNNNNNNNNNNNNNNNNNNNNNNNNNNNNNNNNNNNNNUGCCGCCGCUCGCAGCCGGCGGCCCUGCUGCGCCAGCCUUGCCGCCCCACCCUCUCCCAACCUCUCCCCACCGCCGUGCAUGCCAUCGCCUCCGGCGAUCCCUCUAGCCCCGUCUGUAUCCACUUUUUUCUCCGGUGAAGCCCCACCACCGCCCCCACCACCGCCGUCCACCACCGCUUCCACCCUGAACCCUAAGAUGACAGCGAGCUCAUUCCUUCUCUCCGGCUAGGCUAUUCCUUCUCCUUCUUCUUCCUUCACUCAAAAACGAAUGACCCGAAAACAAAAAUUCAGCUGACUGACGUGCAUCUAAACUGUUUUAUUAUAAAUGCGAGCUUUUGGGACCCUUCAUGUCCCUACCCGUUGUAUAAAGAAAAGAAAAAAAGGCACCGAGAAAGAAUUUCGCUCCAAGAGAAUGUUCUCUUCUAAACAAGACCGACUCUGCUUCUAGCACAUGCGCAAACACGAACUACAAACGGGAGUGGAUUUUUUCUAACUGACUGCGCGCACAACUUGUAUCCUUGCCGUCCAUCCAGGGCGUUGUCCAAUCAACAUGCCCCACCAUGUUCUUAGCCAUGCAGUGUAUUCCCAGGACAUGUGAUAUACUGUUGUGUGUAUAUGAAGCCGUAUUGCAGCAAAUGUGGGGCCAUGGACGAUAGAUUCUCCUGACAACCAGACCCAUGGCCCAUGUCCUUCAGAUUCGUCACGAGGGAUGCGCUGCUCAUUAUCUAUGCAAGUCUAGAUACAAAUUCUGUAACAUUUGAAGAACUGACACGCAUAUGUUUAAUCUGGUCGGUAAUUCAUAAGUCACAAAAAAUGGUAGUAGUAACAUUCAUAAAAAUGCCACUUUCUAGCAGAGUCGACAAAGGGGCAAAAAAUCAGAAAAGUUCUACUGAACUUGUGAUAAAGUCCAUAAAUUGCCUUCAUAAAGUUUUGUACUAUUUUCAUAACCUUCAAAUUCACAUGUACACAAAGUUAUUCAAGGAUUCAUACAAACUACCAGCUAGUUAAACAUAAAGUUCUAUUAAUAUCAAUAUGGCAAGAAAAAGCAUUCUCUUUUACAUACAACAAUAAAGUUCUUCAGCAAUUUAUACAAAGAGACCGCUUUGUAGAAACAGAGUUCUUUGUAAAAAGAUAAAGUCCUUCAUCAAUUUUCAGCAAAGGACGAUCCGGACAUCCAAAAAGUUCUUGUACAAAUCUGCCCAAAAAAAUUCAAUCUAUGCUGAGAACUUGGAAAUAAAGCAUGUCUAUACAAAGGGAUUUCACCUGUCAGUGCAAACAAAAUAAACUGCAGCUUAUUUUAUCAGAGAGCUGAAAGGUAGCCUUAACACAGACAAAACUUUGUCCAGCUUGUAGUCAAAUCCCAACAAACAAUCAGAGGGCCUAAAUUGUGCUAGCCUUUUUGUGGACACAAAUCGAUCAAGGUAGCGCAUGCAAGUUCAUCACAGAGAACAGAAGACCAAGAUUAAACAUGGUGGAUCCAUGUGCUACUAGAUCCAUCACGCAACAAUCAAUAUUACACUGCUGC